UGGGGAGUAAAUUAAAAUUUGUGAUUGUUCUUCCGCAGAGGCAGCCUUGGGGUAGGGGAGCCGGAGGAGGCGGCCCAAGGUCUCACCCUCAGGGUAAUAAGACGAAGCCGGUAGUCAUCAGCCUGAAUGACCUGCUUGACGGUGAUCUCGACCCCGUCAUACACAACCUGCUCUUCUGGCCAGUACUCUGUGCAUUUCUGGAGGUAUACAAGGGUGAGAUAACGUUAUCCAGCUCCCUAAACAAACUGUCAUGGUGGACAGUGUUGGAAACACUGCCUGCCUGUGUAGCUUCCAGUGAGGACUCCAGAAGAGGCAAGGAACCAUGGGAGACUGCCUAUUUGUUCCAGACCCAAAGUCAGAAGUUGGUGAAUCAGUUUUUGGCAUACUUUGUGAUUCCAAUCCAAAAAGAAUGAGCCUGCAUGAGAAAGCCAUCAACCUGUCUGUACGUACCCAACAAUGUGUGAGCGCUGAAUUUUGCUUUAAAGGCUGAAGUUACUCCGAUCUAACACCAGAUUUGUAACUAACAAGGGGCAAGUGGUACUUUGCCUCGAGGUAAUAUCUUGGAAGGCGUGUGCUUUCUUUUCACCACAACCACCAAUCAGUGACUUCUAGAAUCUUGUGGUACAAUCAUCCCUGACCACCCUGCCAAGAUUCUGUUCCUGUGGUGGCCAUUGGAGUGUUCUCUUCCAUCCCUCCAAGGAGAAAAGGAUCCCCCUCUUAGGUAGAACUCUCCUUUGCACCACUGUAUCACCAAAUCUUCCCUUUCCCUCCACCUCCCCAGUCAGAUACUUCAUAGUAUGGCCAUGUAUCCCAUACCUUGGACUCUUCUGUCAUCUUUCUGUUCCAUGUGGAUAGAAUUGUGUCACUCUGCCCUAUCCCUUCACCAUUUCUGGCUCCACCAGUUUGUUCCAGGAGCAGAUAUAGCUAGUUACAGUUCUACCCAGAACUCACCCAAACCACAUUUGGGGAAUCUCCUGGAUGACGGGAAGAACUGGUGGGACUUGGGGGGUACUGUCUAGCUUGCCCAUGUUAUUCAAGCACAGCAUUUCACUCAGGUAGGAAGUCAUUUAUACUACAGACUGCCAGUGACUAUAGGGAAGGAGGUGGGGAGGUGGUCAAAGUCCCU